rnacentral:rRNA from 1 species
UACAGAGGGGGCAAGCGUUGUUCGGAAUUACUGGGCGUAAAGGGCGCGUAGGUGGCCUGCUAAGUCGAACGUGAAAUCCCUGGGCUCAACCCAGGAACUGCGUCCGAUACUGGGUGGCUUGAAUUCGGGAGAGGGAUGCAGAAUUCCCGGUGUAGCAGUGAAAUGCGUAGAGAUCGGGAGGAACAUCUGUGGCGAAGGCGACUACCUGGACCAGCACUGACACUGAGGCACGAAAGCGUGGGGAGCAAACAGG